GUCUAUGGCCAUACCACCCUGAACGCACCUGAUCUCGUCUGAUCUUGGAAGCUAAGCAGGGUCGGGCCUGAUUAGUACUUGGAUGAGAACAACUGGCUAGAAAUAAGCCAAGCUAAGGCCU
ensembl:rRNA 5S_rRNA 5S ribosomal RNA